rnacentral:misc_RNA from 1 species
UCCUAAUUUCUAUGGGGAUCUCAACAUACAAGUAUUCUUAGAUUGGAUUGCUACCAUUGAUAGUUUCUUUGACCAUAUGGACAUAGCACUUGAAAAACAAGUCAAAUUGGUGGCUUGUUGGUUGAAAGAUGGUGCUUUUGCUUAGUAGGAAUAGCUACAAUCUAGAAGGAAGCGAAAAGGGAAGGGGUUAGUUCGAACUUGGUACGAAAUGCAGUAUUUGUUGGAACAAGAAUUUUUGCCUCUAGAUUAUGAGCAGAUUUUACUCCAUCAGAAACAACAUUGUCAACAAGAGUUUCAACCAAAGCCCUUAA